rnacentral:rRNA from 1 species
GACGAACGCUGGCGGCGUGCUUAACACAUGCAAGUCGAACGGAAAGGCGCUGCUUUUGUGGGGUGCUCGAUUGGCGAACAGGUGAGUAACACGUGAGUAACCUGCCCUUGACUUUGGGAUAACUUCAGGGAACUCGGGCUAAUACCGCAUAGGAGCUCCUGCUGCGUGGGGUGGAUUGGAAAGUGUCGGCGGUUGGGGAUGGAUUGGCGGGUUAUCAGCUUGUUGGUGGAGUAGUGGCUUACGAAGGCUAUGACGGAUAGCCGGCAUGGGAGGGUUGACAGCCACAUGGCGACUGAGAGACGGACCAGAAUGGAACGGGCGGCAACAGGGGGGAAUAUUGCAGAGUGGGGGGACGCGUGAGGUGAAAGCGCCGCGUGCGGGAUGACGGGUUACGGGUUGUGAACCGAUUUCGCCUGAGACGAGGAGUGCGUGACGGUAAUGGGUAAGGAAGCAACGGCUAACUACGUG